rnacentral:rRNA from 1 species
CACUUCUAAGGAAGGCAGCAGGCGCGCAAAUUACCCAAUCCUGACUCAGGGAGGUAGUGACAAGAAAUAACAAUAAACCGGCUUAUGCCGGUUUAAUUGGAAUGAGUACAAUUUAAACAUCUUAACGAGGAACAAUUGGAGGGCAAGUCUGGUGCCAGCAGCCGCGGUAAUUCCAGCUCCAAUAGCGUAUACUAAAGUUGUUGCAGUUAAAAAGCUCGUAGUUGGAUUUCUGUGGGGACGGAGCGGCCGGCCGCAACUCGCGGUUCGAGCUAGCGCUUUCCCUACAUCCUGCCGCGAACCGUGCUACCAUUAGUUUGGUGGCGCCGGGGAUCGGCUCGAUUACUUUGAGAAAAAUAGAGUGUUCAAAGCAGGCCACAUGCCUUGAAUAAGUUAGCAUGGAAUAAUAACUAAGGACUUCGGUUCUAUUUUGUUGGUGUUCGGGACUGAAGUAAUGAUUGAUAGGGACAGUUGGGGCGGUCUGUAUUCCAAAGCGAGAGGUGAAAUUCUUAGACCUUCGGAAGACAAACAGCUGCGAAAGCGUUCCGCAAGGAUGUUCCCUUUGAUCAAGAACGAAAGUUGGGGGAUCGAAGACGAUCAGAUACCGUCGUAGUCUCAACUAUAAACUAUACCAGCUAGGGAUCGGCCAACGUUAUUUUAUACCGACUUGGUCGGCACCUUAUGAGAAAUCAAAGCAUCUGGGUUCCGGGGGGAGUAUGGUCGCAAGGCUGAAACUUAAAGGAAUUGACGGAAGGGCACCACCAGCCGUGGAGCCUGUGGCUUAAUUUGACUCAACACGGGAAAACUUACCAGGUCCAGACAUAGUAAGGAUUGACAGAUUGAUAGCUCUUUCUUGAUUCUGUGGGUGGUGGUGCAUGGCCGUUCUUAGUUGGUGGAGUGAUUUGUCUGGUUAAUUCCGUUAACGAACGAGACCCCAGCCUGCUAAAUAGCGCGCGUGAGCUUUGCUCGCGGCGAGCUUCUUAGAGGGACUCUGAUGCGCGAUAGCACAUGGAAGUUUGGGGCAAUAACAGGUCUGUGAUGCCCUUAGAUGUUCUGGGCCGCACACGGGCUACACUGGCGCCUGCAACGAGCAUAUCAGCUGGCCCGAGAGGGUCUUGGCUAAUCUUUUGAACCGGCGCCGUGCUUGGGAUUGACCUUUGCAAUUGUUGGUCAUGCAACGAGGAAUGCCUUGUAAACGCGAGUCAUCAGCUCGCAUUGAAUACGUCCCUGCCCUUUGUACACACCGCCCGUCGCUCCUACCGAUGAAUGUUCCGAUGAAAUUUUCGGAGAGCACCUGUGAACUUGGCUCUGCCUUGCGAACGGGAGGCUCAAAGUCACUUAAAUCUGAACAUUU